UCCGCGCCGCGGCCAUGUUUGUGAGGGGCACCCGCCGGACGGCCUCAGCGGUCAUCGCGGUUAGACGGGGCGGCGGCCAUGUUUGUGAGGGGCAUCUGGAAGCGCCGGCCGCGUGUCCGGGGGAAGGCGGGAAGUGCUUGUUCACCGGAGGCCCGCGGCGGAGGUCGGUUUCCAGGCUCUGGUCCCCGGUGUGCGAGCGUCGCGACUUUGCCGUGGUGCGCUUGGCCUGGGGACCGGCGAGUCCCCGCAUGGUCCUGCCCCGACCCCGCCCGGCUAGUCCCCCAGCGGAGGUGGACCGCAGGCCGCCCAAGGACGGCCCUUCCUCCCCGGGGCUCAGCUCUUCCAGCACGGGGUGACGGUCCGGCGGCGCCCGCUCCCCUCUCCAGUGUCCCGGCUCCUGGCACCUCAGGGACCCUGCGUUAAAGCCAGUGGCCGCCUUUGAGCGUUUUAAAAACAUGAAAUCCAGCCUUGCCUUUAAGCACGCCAGGCCCCCAGCUCCCGGGUCUAGGACCCCUCCCCCAGCCCCCCCCCGCCCCCGACUGAAGGACACCAGCCCUGCCCUCUGGCCCCCCAGUGCGCCCCCAGGACUGAGGGACACCAGCCCUGUCCUCUCACCCGUCAGGACUGAGACAGCAGCCGCCCCCCACCCCGCGGCUCCGCACCGUGGCAGCCCCAAGCCACAGGCGGGCUUUGCAAUCAGCAGAGCGGUGUUUAGGCCUGUGUUUGCAGGUGAGAACGUUCAGAUCAGGCAGUUUUGUCAGAUGCACUAGAUUCUCCAGUUCCGCUGUGAAAGGCUGAACAGUGACCUGUGUUGAGCUUCGGCCCCGUGGCCCAUCUGAGCGUGCCCGUGUGCGUCGUUCCCCGGCAGACGGUGACUCGUACCCUCCUGCGGACGCGUCCAUGUUCGCUGCUCCCGCAGAUCGACUCCCUCCGAGCCUGCGAACGCGCUGGAUGGGGAUCCCGCCGGCUCCUCCCUGCCGCGCAGACCAGCCCGAGCCCCUUCCGGGAGGCCGCGCUGCUCUGGUUCCGGCCACGAGGGAAGACAUGCACGGGCCUGGUGUGCACGCUCACGCGCGCCCGUCUGCUCCGCGGCCCGCUGGAUCCUUCUCCCUUCCCAGGGCUGUGUUGCCCGCGGCCUUAUUUCCCACCGCCUGUGUGGAAGGGAGAAGACAAAUGGGGCCUGGCAGGAAAGUCCGUUUGGAAAGGAAACUAAUCUAAUCACUGGCAGCCGCUGGAGGGAAACCCAAGGCCAAGCCUGUUAAACACCUCGCCUGUCCCACUUCUGGGGAGACUGGUUUUCUAAUAAGCUGGGUUCCGUGCUUUUAUUACGGAGCCCUUCAGAACUCCACUUCUCAUCAGUUGGCACCUGAUGGCCACCAGCCAGUUUCUGGCUCUCCAGUUGCUCUGGCGUCAGCGGAUGCCGGGCCCCUGCUUGGGCACGCCUGACUCGGACAGGCCAGAGAACUGGGUGCCUCUGGAGUUCAGCCUCCCCAAGGGCUUCAACUCUGGUUGCAAAGGUGCCCUGUCCACCCGCCGGUUGUGUGAACGGUGUUUCUAGCCCCCCAGCUGCUCCGGCCUGACGCCCAGGGCCUCCCCGUCAACUAACCCUCCUUCCAUGUCUGUCUCCGAUCAGUGACCAUUCCUGGUAAUUCUAGACCGCGCGGCUGGUCCCCCUUCUCCUCUUGCCCACACAGUCCACAGCAACGGACUGGUCACUCACCAGUGGUGGCCUGACCCCCUCUAGGGGUGCCUCACUGCUUCUAGGAUCAAGAACCGGACGUCACAUGGCCUGGAAGGCCCAGCACACAGCAGGAGCUCCGGGAAUGUUCGCUGAAUGAAGGUGUCGCAGCUGAGUGUUUGCCUUCCACAAACACUGCGGGGCUGGUGAGAAAGUUGGAGAGAAUUUUCAAUUGUUUAAGUCGGCGGUUUCCUUAGCCGGGGCCCUUCUGGCCUGGAGCGUGUCUCCUUACCCACAGAGGGUGGCCUGUGUGAUGAAGGAUCGUUUCUUACAUGCUGACCCUUUAUGGUUAAAAGACAGAAUAGUUUUCCUAAAAAGUGAGGGAAAACCACAAGCGGAAAAGGUCACAGAAGAAUGUGGAGCCGCAGGAACUCUCUCACUGCUGGUGGGAUCCAACACGGCGUGGCCGCUUUGGAAGACAGGUCGGUGGUUUCUUACAGAACGGGGCACCUUCUUACCGUGGGAUCCCCAGUCACGCUCGCUCAGUCCGCGCGAAAGCCUGCACCAGCACGUUGUUACCAGCCUUAUUUGUAAUUGCUAAAACUUGGAAGCUACCAAGAUGUCCUUUAGAAAAGGCGAGUGGAUAAAGAAAAUGGUCCGUCCAGACAACGGAAUAUUAUUUAGUGCUAAAAAGGCACGAGCCAUCGAGCCAUGGAGAGACGGGAAGGAACCGAGAACGUGUCGCGCUAAGAGAAAGGAGUCCGUCAGAAGACUCCAGCCGGGGACGUUCUGGAAAAGGCAAACCUAGACAGGGCACCCGGGUCGGUGUUCCCCAGGGACGGGCGCAGUGGGCAGAUGAGCUGAGGACACGGGACCUUCAGGGCAGUGAAGCGACUCUGGGUGAGCAAUUUCUGUUUUUGUCCAAACCCAUGGGAUAGACGCCACUGAGAACGCACCGUGGUGUGGACUGUGGACGCUGGGGGAUGACGACAUGUGAAUGUAGGUUCAUCGGCCAUCACAUCCGUCCUGCGCUGGGUGGGUGUUGGUAGUGGGGGAGGCUGAGUGGUAGCGGGGGGACAGGGGACGUGGAGAGAUCUGAGUAUCUCCUCGGUUUUGCUGUGAGCCUACACUGCUCUGGACAACAGGUCUGCUUAUGAAAGGGACACGAUAUGUGGAAGCAUUGAUGA